rfam:Oryza meridionalis cultivar OR44 (W2112) chromosome 4, whole genome shotgun sequence.
UUUAAGCGGCAUUUGUGAAUUUCUAUGUUCAACUUUAAUCAUCUAUCUUAUUUAAAACCUUUUUUAUGAUUAGUAUUUUUAUUAUUGUUAGAUGAUAAAAUAUGAGUAGUACUUUAUAUAUAACUUAUUUUUAAAUUUUUUAAUAAAAGUUUUAAAUAAGAUAAAUGAUCAAACAAAUUAUGAAAUCUCCCGGCUGCAUUUAAA